UGAGGAUCUUCCACAAUGGACGCAAGUCCGAUGGAGCAACGCCGCGUGAGUGAAGAAGGUUUUCGGACCGUAAAGCUCUGUUGUUGGUGAAGAAGGAUAGAGGUAGUAACUGGCCUUUAUUUGACGGUAAUCAACCAGAAAGUCACGGCUAACUACGUGCCAGCAGCCGCGGUAAUACGUAGGUGGCAAGCGUUGUCCGGAUUUAUUGGGCGUAAAGCGAGCGCAGGCGGAAGAAUAAGUCUGAUGUGAAAGCCCUCGGCUUAACCGAGGAAUUGCAUCGGAAACUGUUUUUCUUGAGUGCAGAAGAGGAGAGUAGAACUCCAUGUGUAGCGGUGGAAUGCGUAGAUAUAUGGAAGAAUACCAGUGGCGAAGGCGGCUCUCUGGUCUGCAACUGACGCUGAGGCUCGAAAGCAUGGGUAGCGAACAGGAUUAGAUACCCUUGGUAGUCCAUGCCGUAAACGAUGAGUGCUAAGUGUUG
rnacentral:rRNA from 1 species